AAGUCCUUACCUAAUCUUGUUGUAAGCAUUGUCUCUAUUUUAAAAACGAUUAACACGCGUUAAUUACAAUUCUGAUGUCCCCAUAACCUAGUGAGCAAAGUGCAAAUCAGUUCUCUACAUAUCGCCAUUAAAAUCUGCCUAUAAAACGUAUUAUGGCCCGUUUUUAUCGGUAAUGCAUCAAUAAAAGUCGCUAGUGUAACCGACCCGUAUAAAUUGGCCAACUAAACAAUGGCAUAGGCAGUAUCGCUCCACAUUUCUUUGUGGCUAGUUUUUGCAUUCACGGCGUAUAUCACAGUUAUUUCAAAACCCCGCUCAGGCCAACACGUCUUUGUAGUUUUAAUUAAAUUAUAUGUGUCCUCUGCUGUUGGUAUGUGCGUAAAUCUACACGUGUCUAAAAGCGUCCAGAUGACCGCGAGCACGUGUGAAAGCCGCAACACUCGGAUUUGCAUUGCAUGGAUGGCGAGUGCGAACGAGACAACGGCAGAUCGAGAUAACGGCUGACACUGGUAACAGAGAUGUGUAAGGUAAGAAGUUUAUUACCAGCUGCU